GAACAAAUACAUGCAAAGUGAUCGUUGAACCUUAACUUUGGCAAUAUUUCUCAAAUAUUCAAAUCAAACUUUUACCGCAUUGUAUUACCUUUUUAUGCAAGAUAACGUGAUUAAAAACCAAAACCCCAUGUGUUACUUAAGCUAAGAUUAAUACAACCAUCGAACGGCGGUGAUAUCUUACAAUCCCUGUGGAUACGAUAACAAAAACCCGACACUUAAAAUUACAAUCAAC
rnacentral:lncRNA from 1 species